GACAGAAGCCCACCAGGGCGGAGCAGAAGACCACCACAUCCGUAUAGUCGAGACAGAAGCCCACCAGGGCGGCGCAGAAGACCACCAUAUCCGUCUGGUCGAGACGCUUUCAAAAGAAUUUCCACGACAAACAUGGCGACGAGUGACGGGAUUCCACAGCUGAUCGUCUGGGACCUGAGGACGUUAGUUGGCUGAUCACCCUAAACGCACAAGGGUUUAGCCCUAAACCCCAAAAAGGUUUCAGGGAAGUGGGGACUGAUGUCAGAGGGCUUGUGGACCUUCACUGCUGGUUUCUCAAUGGAUCAGAAAACGCAUGCUACAAACGAGAACUGUGGUGUGCCAAAGUGGACUUUGAUCUGGACUCCUGGCUUCACCCCUAUCGAAAAAUGCCACGGCAGCACCAGAUUCAACCACCACAGCUGCCUCCAUCCUACAGAGCCAUUGCAUCUUCACCACAGUCCAUGCCGCCCAACGAAAGACAAGCACAACUUCAACAGCAUCAUUAUGAUCCAAACAGUCUGCUCUGCAACCAGCAACAUCAUCGGAAUGAUGAAAUACUCCAUGACUGGAGUCAGCACCAGAUCUAAAGCUCAUGAGAGAGUGACACUGCAGCUGGACAGCCUGAACAAGAAGAAACUGGAGGAAAAAAAGGAGAGCAUGUCUGAGCUUUCCCCAUGAUUCAAGUGGCUGGGCUGAAUAGAACUGUGAUGGUCUCUCAACCAUGGAACGAGAAAGACUUUAAAGAGACACAACGAAGCAUAUCAUCAAGCAGUGGAAACACUGUGUCAAUGGAUCAAGACUCACUUUCCAGUCAGAGCGAACACAACCAAAAUCAUGCAGAAGAGCAGAGGUCAAAGACUUUUUCAGACUGCACAUUUGAUCAACCAAACGGCGGCUGGACCAGAUAAAGCUGAGGCAGACUGACAACAGUGACUUUCACAGCAGAAGCUGGAGAAGGAGAGUGGAGUCUGGAGCAAAGUCAACCAAGGCCACGCAGCACAAACAGAUAAGUCUGAAACACACACACAUUUUCUCUAAAGCUCACUGCAAUGAAGAAAAUAUGCUUGCUUAUAUUUCUGCUCUUAGCAAUGAAGAAAAAUGCUUGCUUUAAUACAUGAUCACAUUGGAAGAAUAGAAAAUGAUAAAUCUUCUCUCGACAAGAACAUAGGCACAUAAAUUAGCUAAUGAACAAAUAACACAUAGAUUAUGGGUUAAUGGAGUUGAAAGGGCUGGCAACUCCUUAAUUAGAAUGUAUGAAAUAGAUCCAAUUCCAAAAAUAAGUGGAAAUUUAGUUUGGUCUACUACUGCAUCUAGUUAUAUGGUCAGAGACAAUUUCACUGUACCAUUGAGAUGUAAAGAUUAGGAUGGCAUGAACUUUAAGCAUUGUUUACUACUGUCAGAAAACUGCCUUCAAAAUUUGUAAGAAAGAUAUUUAAUGUGAAACUGGGAAGUGGCCCAGUGCCAAAUUCAAACUUUAGCCACAAUCCAACAAUCACAGUUGUAUAUUUACCAGUGUAAACGGAAAGAUGAUGAAUUAUGUGAAAAGCUUGUCAAGGCUGCAAAAGACAGUUUCACCUACUUCUGAAUUAUGCCAUUCUCUGAUUUACAAUGCUCAGCACAUAUAUCAUUGGGAAAAGAUAAUUAUAAUUUUUUUAACAAAAAUGGUUUCAUGUAUAGACACAAUAGACCUGAAAUGUUUAAUCUGGACAGAAAACAGAUGUGCUUUUGCUGUUGAUUUGAGAAAUGAACAGUAAAUGCUGUUUGAUGUUUUCUGAUUAUCUUCCACAUAUUUCAUUGUCCGUAAAGAACAAUGACCAUAGGCAAGACGUUGGUUUAUUUGUAAAAAUUUGUAUUUUUCAUGUGAAUUGGGUGGAGACAGCAGAGAAAAAGGUUGAAUACAAUCCAACACUGUCUGCAUACCGAAUGUGUUUGCACGGGACUGAUGUUAAAGCUGUACGUACAGUCUAUGUGAUUCAUAGGGUCAUAAGCCAGUUUGUCAAAAGGGAGGUGACAUUUUUUGGUCAUCAUCAGUAAAAAUGGCAAAUCUUAAUCUGAGAAACAAAAAGAGACAAUUUUUGGGCAUGUGUUCAUAUUGUCGAACAUCCAUUAUAAAUUAUAUUAUCAAAGAAUCGCCCUUGAACGCUUUGGCUCAUGGGAAGGGCUUGCAACCCCAUGACAAACUGACCUGGAUUCCAUAAGCAGAGAAAGCAUUUAAGAAUAUAUUAUUGCGAUGAACAUCACCAACACUGGGACUUCCAGACCCAGAAAUAAAUUUUGUUCAAACUGUUGAUGAGAGAAUGGGUUCCUGACUUCUGUUCUGUUACAGGAUCAUGGGGGAGACCUGUGGCCUAUUUUUAGAGUAAGCACGAUCCGAUAGUGGCAGGCAUGCCAAAAUCCCUGAAUGCUGUUGCAUCUUCAGAAAAAGCUGUUUUAAAUUGUGGGGUCUCUGAUGUGACUUUGCUCAUGCCACACACGGUCUUUGUGAUCCUAUUGGAACAGAAAACAUCCUAUUUGUCAAUGCCCCGGUAUCUCAGGUACAAUGCAAUUUUAUUGGAAAUGCCAAACAUCACAAUUAAAAGAUGCACAAUGUUAAAUCCAGCUGCACUGCUCCCUACGAAUCAGGAUGGGGAAGAACAUGAUAGCAUUGGCACAUUUAAACAGGUCUGUCAACCAAUACCAGAUUUUAAAAGAAACCCCCUUAGAAAAUGCUGACUUAAAGCUGCAGUAGGUAACUUUUGUAAAUAUAUAUUUUUACAUAUUUGUUAAACCUGUCAUUAUGUCCUGACAGUAGAAUAUGAGACAGAUAAUCUGUGAAAAAAAAAUCAAACUCCUCUGGCUCCUCCCAGUGGUGCUAUUGCCAUUCGCAGUUAUGGACCGCUCCCGGUAAGAAAUCAACGAAUCAGAGCUGCGGUCCAUAACUUUGUUUGUGUUCAAAAUGUAGAAAAAU